GAGUAAUGCCUAGGAAAUUGCCCUGAUGUGGGGGAUAACCAUUGGAAACGAUGGCUAAUACCGCAUGAUGCCUACGGGCCAAAGAGGGGGACCUUCGGGCCUCUCGCGUCAGGAUAUGCCUAGGUGGGAUUAGCUAGUUGGUGAGGUAAGGGCUCACCAAGGCGACGAUCCCUAGCUGGUCUGAGAGGAUGAUCAGCCACACUGGAACUGAGACACGGUCCAGACUCCUACGGG
rnacentral:rRNA from 1 species